rnacentral:misc_RNA from 1 species
GAAAUGCGAUAAGUAAUGUGAAUUGCAGAAUUCAGUGAAUCAUCGAAUCUUUGAACGCACAUUGCGCCCGCCAGUAUUCUGGCGGGCAUGCCUGUUCGAGCGUCAUUACAACCCUCAGGCCCCCGGGCCUGGCGUUGGGGAUCGCGGAAGCCCCCUGCGGGCACAACGCCGUCCCCCAAAUACAGUGGCGGUCCCGCCGCAGCUUCCAUUGCGUAGUAGCUAACACCUCGCAACUGGAGAGCGGCGCGGCCACGCCGUAAAACACCCAACUUCUGAAUGUUGACCUCGAAUCAGGUAGGAAUACCCGCUGAACUUAAGC